UACAGAGGGGGCAAGCGUUAUUCGGAAUUAUUGGGCGUAAAGGGCGCGUAGGCGGCCUGGCAAGUGGAAGGUGAAAUCCCUCGGCUUAACCGAGGAACUGCCCUCCAAACUGCUUGGCUUGAGUCCGGGAGAGGUGAGUGGAAUCCCCAGUGUAGCGGUGAAAUGCGUAGAUAUUGGGAGGAACACCAGUGGCGAAGGCGGCUCACUGGACCGGAACUGACGCUGAGGCGCGAAAGCGUGGGGAGCAAACGGG
rnacentral:rRNA from 1 species